CAAAAUGAAUUACUAAAGUAAAUGGAAUUUUAUAGUAGUUUAUUUAUAAUAUUUACAAUAGAAGGAAGAUAUUAAGGAGAGAGAGAGGGAGAGAGAGACAGAGAGACAGAGAGAAAAAAAACUCUGGCUUCUUCUGAUACAAGUUAGAAUUUCUAAGCCCUAGCCAGGAGAAGAGAGUCUCAAGAAGUUGGGCCUUUCUUGGAGGCUUCAUGCCUCCAGAAAGGUGGAGUCACUAAGUUAGCUUUUCACUCACCAAGGGUAACAGUCUAAAAGAAGUCUGGGUGUCUGUAUUCCAGUCGCUUCUCUGAGUCAGUGCCCGAAUGUCCAAAUGAAUCUCCAAAUCUACGAAUGUCCGUCUUCCCUUCAGCUCCGAGUAACUGAUCCUUCACUCCAAGCCCAGAUCGCUCACCUGGUCUCCUCCCUGCCCACCCCGGCUGCCUGCUCCUGCUCCUGGCCUCUCUCUUGCUCACCUGGCCCAGCUGAUCCCGGCCCAGCAACCCUGACCUCAGAGCAGACCGCUUAUCACCCCAGGCCCAAGACUCACUUCUACCAGCUGUGGAUCAUGGCCAGAGAUGAAGAGGAAAUGGAUCUCAUUUUUGGUGAGAAAGCCUUGUAUUCUAUAUUUCCUAGCUGACACAGUGUGUCAAUGAUUAUAAGCUAUAUUUUUGAAUUUUAAAAACUCUAUUAUAUUUUUAUUGCAUGUGCAAUAUAUUAUUUCAGUUUUUAAAUAAUUUUUCUCUCCUUUUUUAUAUUAGAAGCACAUGUCACCAGCAUUAAGAUUUUCUUUAACUUUUUUGAUUUGCAGUAAUAUGUUUAAAAUAUAUUUGCUAUAAUACUAAUGCAUGCCCCAAAAGCUUGAGACUAUAAAAAUGAUGCCACUAAUUAUUUAAAAAAAAUUAUGGGACUGCUUAAUAAUUCUGUCUGAUUCCAGGACAAGAUACACACAAAAGAGCCAUUGAACAGGGCCAAGGAAAAGCCAAUCCAGGACGGAUUGAUGCACUCCCAAGUCAAUGCAAAGAUCUUGAACCUAGUAUGAAGACUCAAAGUUACUAUGUUUAAUAUUGUUACGACAUAGGCUUUCCUUGUGUCCACACUCACUCUGAAAAUACUGAAAAGAUGAGUACCCCCAAACCUUGGCUCCUACCUGGCUCCUAUAAUCUUGUCCCUUUUCUGUCUUUCAUAGUGGUAACUUUCUGUAGUCCUGGCUACUGACUGGGUAAAUGCAUCAUUGCUUAGAUCAUUUUAAUUGGGCCCUGAUUCAAGGACCUGUUUUUAGAUUUACUUUUCCUUUACUUAGAAAUUUUACACAUAAGACUUUGAUAGUCUAUAUUUUCAUCCAGAAAUUUUCUUUUUUAUUUGGAUUUUUCUGAUGUCUUUUUAAUUUCUCUUACAAAUUGAUUCAUAUGCCUCAUACCUCAGCCAUGCAUCCCUAAGUGAUCCUGUAUUUUCAAUCACCCCUUAAAUGGGGAAAUGUAAAAAUAUUAUUUUAAAUUGCAAAGUUUAAAUUCCUUUUAAGAAGAAUUUUAGGUAAAGAAAGAUACUACCUCUCCGAAUCCAGAAACUGAACCAUUUGGAGAAGACACCAUGAAGAAGCCUCCAGACCACAAGCUGCACAAGAAGAUCAAAAUUGAACUUUGGAUGUGAUUGAUUGAACAUUUAUUUGUAUCUAUACUUUCAUGCCAAAGGGGACUUCCCCUAAUUGGUUUUUUGUCAAUGUGUCUAGCAAUUGUUGGUUUUGUUUUUGCUUUUGUUUUUUUCCCUCUUAUCCUCAAAUUGUUGUAAUGUUUAAGUUGAUUGUUUUCAUGAUCCUUUUUGGGGAAACUUCAAACAGGAGAAUGUAAAAAUGGAGAUUUGAGCCCUGGACUCCAAUCCCCAGAAGUCCUUGGCCACUUCCCAGAAUGCUUUGUAAUCUCACUGAGAUCCUCACCUGGGUGAGAUAAAAAACUUCUAUUUAAACUGGUUGUAAGCCUACCAGCCCCUCUUCCUACUUCCGCUUCCAAGGAGAUGCGGCUCCCCACCUAGCAGGCAAGAUGUGAGUGGUGAUGAAUGGGCUCUCUGGGCCUAUGCAUGUGCUUUUCUUAUUUUGUAUUUUCUCUAAUUCUUAAUCUUAAAUAAACCUCUAAAAUAUAAUACUUCUAGCA
rnacentral:lncRNA from 1 species